rnacentral:rRNA from 1 species
AUUGAACGCUGGCGGCAUGCUUUACACAUGCAAGUCGAACGGCAGCGCGGGCUUCGGCCUGGCGGCGAGUGGCGAACGGGUGAGUAAUGCAUCGGAACGUGCCCAGUAGUGGGGGAUAGCCCGGCGAAAGCCGGAUUAAUACCGCAUACGACCUGAGGGUGAAAGCGGGGGACCGAAAGGCCUCGCGCUAUUGGAGGGGCCGAUGUCGGAUUAGCUAGUUGGUGGGGUAAAGGCUUACCAAGGCGACGAUCCGUAGCUGGUCUGAGAGGACGACCAGCCACACUGGGACUGAGACACGGCCCAGACUCCUACGGGAGGCAGCAGUGGGGAAUUUUGGACAAUGGGGGCAACCCUGAUCCAGCCAUGCCGCGUGCGGGAAGAAGGCCUUCGGGUUGUAAACCGCUUUUGUUCGGGAAGAAAUCCUCUGAGCUAAUACCCCGGGGGGAUGACGGUACCGGAAGAAUAAGCACCGGCUAACUACGUG